rnacentral:rRNA from 1 species
UACGGGGGGGGCAAGCGUUGUUCGGAAUUACUGGGCGUAAAGGGCUCGUAGGCGGCCAACUAAGUCGGACGUGAAAUCCCUCGGCUUAACCGGGGAACCGCGUCUGAUACUGGAUGGCUUGAAUCCGGGAGAGGGAUGCGGAAUUCCAGGUGUAGCGGUGAAAUGCGUAGAUAUCUGGAGGAACACCGGUGGCGAAGGCGGCAUCCUGGACCGGCAUUGACGCUGAGGAGCGAAAGCCAGGGGAGCAAACGGG